rnacentral:tRNA from 1 species
GUUUAUAUAGAUUAAUACCUUAAAUCACAAAGCUGUUAACUUUGAAAUGCUUGUUGGGCUAUAAACG